UUGCAUCCACUGAUAGACCUGAAGCAGUCUUCAUUGGCUUCUGUGUUUGCAUAGAGAUGCUAAACUGAACUUUCCUUGCGCUUUCUGACUGCUACAUUAUAUAGCAGCGCAGAUUGAAUUGAGGAAUACAUGC
ensembl:snoRNA